rnacentral:rRNA from 1 species
UACAUGGGGUGCAAACGUUGCUCGGAAUCAUUGGGCGUAAAGAGCGUGUAGGCGGCCAGAUAAGUCCGCUGUGAAAUCUCGAGGCUCAACUUCGAGCUGUCGGUGGAAACUAUCUGGCUAGAGUCCGGAAGAGGAGAAUGGAAUUCCUGGUGUAGCGGUGAAAUGCGCAGAUAUCGGGAGGAACACCUAUGGCGAAGGCAGCUCGCUGGGACGUUACUGACGCUGAGACGCGAAAGCGUGGGGAGCAAACAGG